CCCGGAGGCAGGAAAAAUCCAGGAAGUGCCUUCGUCUCUUGUCAGCUCCUUGUCCAGUGGCUGUGACAAACAACCUAAGGACAUAAAGAGUUUCUCUGUGUAGCCCUGACUGUCCUGGAACUUGCUCUGUAGACCAGGCUGGCCUCGGACUCACAGGACUGGCAAGCAGACCAAAGCUCUGGGCGGUUAAAGGAUGCUCAUCAGGUGUGAGGGAGAGCGCUCCUCUGUGUCAGCACGCAAGGAUGGAUGGCCAAGAGGACGGCGAGUGGCCAACAGGCCCUUACAUUUUUCUACAAGUUAGAAAGGAGAUCAAAAGAGGGAUGUGGACAAAAAGGACACAUAAGCCAUAAGAAAGGAUGCAAAGCUUUUUUUUUUUUCCUAGUUUCAACUCUGUCAAAGUUUUCCCCCCUCCAUAAUGGACAUGAGACUUCAAAUCUCUGGGUACUGGAGUACCAAAGAACCAUCUUUGCAUUGCAAAAGAUUCCAGCCUGUGUUCUUCCUUUGAGCAGUGACUGAAGGGGGAUAUCUUUUUAAUCCCACUGACCAUCAGGGCAGUAGGAAUUAGAUACCACUAAUCACUGAACACAUUUGUUAUGUUGACCCACUUCAAAAAAGUAUUUUUAAAAGAAAUUUGUUCUGUGGAGUGAGGGGUUUUAUAACUUAAAUGUUUUCUUUUUUUCCUUCUGCUUAACACUGUAUCAAAUUAUCCUACUAUAGGGCUGGAGAGAUGGCUCAGUGGUUAAGAGCACAUGCUGCUCCUCCA